rnacentral:rRNA from 1 species
GUUAAAAAGCUCGUAGUUGGAUUUCUGGGAGGGUGCCAAUGUCCGCCGACGUGCGUGCGCAGCGGCGCCCUCUCAUCCUUCUGUUAACGUCUCUCGGCAUUCACUUGCCGGUGGCGGGCUCAGAUAUUUUACCUUGAGAAAAUUAGAGUGUUUCAGGCAGGCUAGGCCGGAAUACAUUAGCAUGGAAUAAUGGAAUAGGACUUCGGUCUCUUUGUUGGCUUGAGGGACUGCAGUAAUGAUUAAUAGGGAUAGUUGGGGGCAUUAGUAUUUAAUUGUCAGAGGUGGAAUUCUCGGAUUUGUUAAAGACUAACUUAUGCGAAAGCAUUUGCCAAGGAUGUUUUCAUUAAUCAAGAACGAAAGUUAGGGGAUCAAAGACGAUCAGAUACCGUCCUAGUCUUAACCAUAAACUAUGCCGAC